AUGUCCCAGAGAUGGUGGGGCUUUUCUCCCUCGGGCCCAGGAACUAUCUUCACUCCGGCUGUCUGGGCAGGCACGUCCACCUACAAGAGAACGACGGGUUUUCCUUUAAAUUCUUUCAAAUUCUCUUCAAGCUUGUACAUCUGGACUUUUUCUAAACAGUCUCAUUCAGGAGAAACCCCAAACCAGAAAUGUCUUCUUCAAUCAUCAAAACAUAGUAAGCACUGAUCCAGGGCUCAGAAGAACUGGUCCAGGUCCGAGCAGUUCCCAGCUUUCGGCAAGUCAAAAACUCGCAUUUCUUCUAUCUUCCGUAAAAAACGAAUAUGUGUGCACUUCCAACCUUCAGGGG
rnacentral:lncRNA from 1 species